rnacentral:rRNA from 1 species
GAUGAACGCUGGCGGCGUGCCUAAUACAUGCAAGUCGAGCGAACAGACGAGGAGCUUGCUCCUUUGACGUUAGCGGCGGACGGGUGAGUAACACGUGGAUAACCUACCUAUCAGACUGGGAUAACUUCGGGAAACCGGAGCUAAUACCGGAUAACCUGUUGAACCGCAUGGUUCAACAGUGAAAGUCGGUCUUGCUGUCACUUCUAGAUGGAUCUACGCCGCAUUAGCUAGUUGGGAAGGUAACGGCUUACCAAGGCAACGAUGCGUAGCCGACCUGAGAGGGUGAUCGGCCGCACUGGAACGGAGACACGGUCCAGGCUCCUACGAGAGGCAGCAGUAGGGAAUCUGCCGCAGUGGGCGAAAGCCUGACGGAACAACGCCGCGUGAGAGAAGGAGGUGUUCGGAGCGUAAAACUCUGUUAUUAGUGAAGAACAAAUGUGUAAGUAACUAUGCACGUCUUGACGGUACCUAAUCAGAAAGCCACGGCUAACUACGUG